AGCAGUAGCCGCGGGAAUACGGAGGGUGCAAGCGUUAAUCGGAAUUACUGGGCGUAAAGCGCACGCAGGCGGUCUGUCAAGUCGGAUGUGAAAUCCCCGGGCUCAACCUGGGAACUGCAUUCGAAACUGGCAGGCUAGAGUCUUGUAGAGGGGGGUAGAAUUCCAGGUGUAGCGGUGAAAUGCGUAGAGAUCUGGAGGAAUACCGGUGGCGAAGGCGGCCCCCUGGACAAAGACUGACGCUCAGGUGCGAAAGCGUGGGGAGCAAACAGGAUUAGAGACCCCGGUAGUCCCUGUCUCUUAUAC
rnacentral:rRNA from 1 species